GCUGUGGCUCAGUGGCAGAGCAUCUGCUUGGCAUGCAGAAGGUCCCAGGUUCAAUUCCUGGCAUCUCUG
rnacentral:tRNA from 1 species